AUGAAGCCGGAAUUGCUAGUAAUGGCAGGUCAGCAUACUGCCGUGAAUACGUUCCCGGGCCUUGUACACACCGCCCGUCACACCAUGGGAGUUUGUAACGCCCAAAGUCGGUGGCCUAACCUUUAUGGAGGGAGCCGCCUAAGGCGGGACAGAUGACUGGGGUGAAGUCGUAACAAGGUAUC
rnacentral:rRNA from 1 species